rnacentral:rRNA from 1 species
UACGGAAGGCAGCAGUGGGGAAUAUUGCACAAUGGGCGAAAGCCUGAUGCAGCUAUGCCGCGUGUAUGAAGAAGGCCUUAGGGUUGUAAAGUACUUUCAUCGGGGAGGAAAAACAAAACUAAUAAUUUUAUUUCUUGACGUUACCCGAAAAAGAAGCACCGGCUAACUCCGUGCCAGCAGCCGCGGUAAUACGGAGGGUGCUAGCGUUAAUCAGAAUUACUGGGCGUAAAGAGCACGUAGGUGGUUUUUUAAGUCAGAUGUGAAAUCCCUGGGCUUAACCUAGGAACUGCAUUUUGAAACUGAAAAUACUAGAGUAUCGUAGAGGGAGGUAGAAUUCUAGGUGUAGCGGUGAAAUGCGUAGAUAUCUGGAGGAAUACCUGUGGCGAAAAGCGGCCUCCUAAAACGAAUAACUGACACUGAGGUGCGAAAAGCGUGGGGAGCAAAACAGGGAUUAGAUACC